GACGAACGCUGGCGGCGUGCUUAACACAUGCAAGUCGAACGGAAAGGCCUGCUUUCCCUUGUGGAUUGCGGGUACUCGAGUGGCGAACGGGUGAGUAACACGUGAGUGAUCUGCCCCCAACUUGGGUAUAAGCCUGGGAAACUGGGUCUAAUUCCCGAUAGGACUGCAGGGUGGUGCCUGUGGUGGAAAACGAUUUUCUAGUGGUUGGGGAUGAGCUCGCGGCCUAUCAGCUUGUUGGUGGGGUAAUGGCCUACCAAGGCGGCGACGGGUAGCCGGCCUGAGAGGGUGGACGGCCACAUUGGGACUGAGAUACGGCCCAGACUCCUACGGGAGGCAGCAGUGGGGAACAUUGCACAAUGGGCGGAAGCCUGAUGCAGCGACGCCGCGUGGGGGAUGACGGCCUUCGGGUUGUAAACUCCUUUCGACCGCGAGGAAGCCACCUGGUUGGAAGGGUGGUGACGGUAGUGGUAGAAGAAGCACCGGCUAACUACGUG
rnacentral:rRNA from 1 species